rnacentral:rRNA from 1 species
UCGGGUUGUAAAGCACUUUCAGUCGUGAGGAAGGUGGUAGUGUUAAUAGCACUAUCAUUUGACGUUAGCGACAGAAGAAGCACCGGCUAACUCCGUGCCAGCAGCCGCGGUAAUACGGAGGGUGCGAGCGUUAAUCGGAAUUACUGGGCGUAAAGCGCAUGCAGGUGGUUUGUUAAGUCAGAUGUGAAAGCCCGGGGCUCAACCUCGGAAUAGCAUUUGAAACUGGCAGACUAGAGUACUGUAGAGGGGGGUAGAAUUUCAGGUGUAGCGGUGAAAUGCGUAGAGAUCUGAAGGAAUACCGGUGGCGAAGGCGGCCCCCUGGACAGAUACUGACACUCAGAUGCGAAAGCGUGGGGAGCAAACAGGAUUAGAUACCCUGGUAGUCCACGCCGUAAACGAUGUCUACUUGGAGGUUGUGGCCUUGAGCCGUGGCUUUCGGAGCUAACGCGUUAAGUAGACCGCCUGGGGAGUACGGUCGCAAGAUUAAAACUCAAAUGAAUUGACGGGGGCCCGCACAAGCGGUGGAGCAUGUGGUUUAAUUCGAUGCAACGCGAAGAACCUUACCUACUCUUGACAUCCAGAGAACUUUCCAGAGAUGGAUUGGUGCCUUCGGGAACUCUGAGACAGGUGCUGCAUGGCUGUCGUCAGCUCGUGUUGUGAAAUGUUGGGUUAAGUCCCGCAACGAGCGCAACCCUUAUCCUUGUUUGCCAGCGAGUAAUGUCGGGAACUCCAGGGAGACUGCCGGUGAUAAACCGGAGGAAGGUGGGGACGACGUCAAGUCAUCAUGGCCCUUACGAGUAGGGCUACACACGUGCUACAAUGGCGCAUACAGAGGGCGGCCAACUUGCGAAAGUGAGCGAAUCCCAAAAAGUGCGUCGUAGUCCGGAUUGGAGUCUGCAACUCGACUCCAUGAAGUCGGAAUCGCUAGUAAUCGUGGAUCAGAAUGCCACGGUGAAUACGUUCCCGGGCCUUGUACACACCGCCCGUCACACCAUGGGAGUGGGCUGCAAAAGAAGUAGGUAGUUUAACCUUCGGGGGGACGCUUACCACUUUGUGGUUCAUGACUGGGGUGAAGUCGUAACAAGGUAGCGCUAGGGGAACC